rnacentral:rRNA from 1 species
UUAAGCGACUAAGCGUACACGGUGGAUGCCCUGGCAGUCAGAGGCGAUGAAGGACGUGCUAAUCUGCGAAAAGCGUCGGUAAGGUGAUAUGAACCGUUAUAACCGGCGAUGUCCGAAUGGGGAAACCCAGUGCAAUUCGUUGCACUAUCGUUAACUGAAUACAUAGGUUAACGAGGCGAACCGGGGGAACUGAAACAUCUAAGUACCCCGAGGAAAAGAAAUCAACCGAGAUUCCCCCAGUAGCGGCGAGCGAACGGGGAGCAGCCCAGAGUCUGAAUCAGCUUGUGUGUUAGUGGAACGGUCUGGAAAGUCCGACGGUACAGGGUGAUAGUCCCGUACACCAAAAUGCACAGGUUGUGAACUCGAAGAGUAGGGCGGGACACGUGGUAUCCUGUCUGAAUAUGGGGGGACCAUCCUCCAAGGCUAAAUACUCCUGACUGACCGAUAGUGAACCAGUACCGUGAGGGAAAGGCGAAAAGAACCCCGGCGAGGGGAGUGAAAAAGAACCUGAAACCGUGUACGUACAAGCAGUGGGAGCACCUUCGGGUGUGACUGCGUACCUUUUGUAUAAUGGGUCAGCGACUUAUAUUCUGUAGCAAGGUUAACCGUAUAGGGGAGCCGCAGGGAAACCGAGUCUUAACUGGGCGUUAAGUUGCAGGGUAUAGACCCGAAACCCGGUGAUCUAGCCAUGGGCAGGUUGAAGGUUGGGUAACACUAACUGGAGGACCGAACCGACUAAUGUUGAAAAAUUAGCGGAUGACUUGUGGCUGGGGGUGAAAGGCCAAUCAAACCGGGAGAUAGCUGGUUCUCCCCGAAAGCUAUUUAGGUAGCGCCUCGUGAAUUCAUCUUCGGGGGUAGAGCACUGUUUCGGCUAGGGGGUCAUCCCGACUUACCAACCCGAUGCAAACUACGAAUACCGAAGAAUGUUAUCACGGGAGACACACGGCGGGUGCUAACGUCCGUCGUGAAGAGGGAAACAACCCAGACCGCCAGCUAAGGUCCCAAAGUCAUGGUUAAGUGGGAAACGAUGUGGGAAGGCACAGACAGCCAGGAUGUUGGCUUAGAAGCAGCCAUCAUUUAAAGAAAGCGUAAUAGCUCACUGGUCGAGUCGGCCUGCGCGGAAGAUGUAACGGGGCUAAACCAUGCACCGAAGCUGCGGCAGCGACACUAUGUGUUGUUGGGUAGGGGAGCGUUCUGUAAGCCUGCGAAGGUGACCUGUGAGGGUUGCUGGAGGUAUCAGAAGUGCGAAUGCUGACAUAAGUAACGAUAAAGCGGGUGAAAAGCCCGCUCGCCGGAAGACCAAGGGUUCCUGUCCAACGUUAAUCGGGGCAGGGUGAGUCGACCCCUAAGGCGAGGCCGAAAGGCGUAGUCGAUGGGAAACAGGUUAAUAUUCCUGUACUUGGUGUUACUGCGAAGGGGGGACGGAGAAGGCUAUGUUAGCCGGGCGACGGUUGUCCCGGUUUAAGCAUGUAGGCUGGUUAUCCAGGCAAAUCCGGAUAAUCAAGGCUGAGGUGUGAUGACGAGGCACUACGGUGCUGAAGUAACAAAUGCCCUGCUUCCAGGAAAAGCCUCUAAGCAUCAGGUAACAUCAAAUCGUACCCCAAACCGACACAGGUGGUCAGGUAGAGAAUACCAAGGCGCUUGAGAGAACUCGGGUGAAGGAACUAGGCAAAAUGGUGCCGUAACUUCGGGAGAAGGCACGCUGGUGUGUAGGUGAAGCCCCUGCGGGUGGAGCUGAGACCAGUCGAAGAUACCAGCUGGCUGCAACUGUUUAUUAAAAACACAGCACUGUGCAAACACGAAAGUGGACGUAUACGGUGUGACGCCUGCCCGGUGCCGGAAGGUUAAUUGAUGGGGUUAUCCGUAAGGAGAAGCUCUUGAUCGAAGCCCCGGUAAACGGCGGCCGUAACUAUAACGGUCCUAAGGUAGCGAAAUUCCUUGUCGGGUAAGUUCCGACCUGCACGAAUGGCGUAAUGAUGGCCAGGCUGUCUCCACCCGAGACUCAGUGAAAUUGAACUCGCUGUGAAGAUGCAGUGUACCCGCGGCAAGACGGAAAGACCCCGUGAACCUUUACUAUAGCUUGACACUGAACAUUGAGCCUUGAUGUGUAGGAUAGGUGGGAGGCUUUGAAGCGUGGACGCCAGUCUGCGUGGAGCCAACCUUGAAAUACCACCCUUUAAUGUUUGAUGUUCUAACGUUGGCCCCUUAUCGGGGUUGCGGACAGUGUCUGGUGGGUAGUUUGACUGGGGCGGUCUCCUCCCAAAGCGUAACGGAGGAGCACGAAGGUUAGCUAAUCCUGGUCGGACAUCAGGAGGUUAGUGCAAUGGCAUAAGCUAGCUUGACUGCGAGCGUGACGGCGCGAGCAGGUGCGAAAGCAGGUCAUAGUGAUCCGGUGGUUCUGAAUGGAAGGGCCAUCGCUCAACGGAUAAAAGGUACUCCGGGGAUAACAGGCUGAUACCGCCCAAGAGUUCAUAUCGACGGCGGUGUUUGGCACCUCGAUGUCGGCUCAUCACAUCCUGGGGCUGAAGUAGGUCCCAAGGGUAUGGCUGUUCGCCAUUUAAAGUGGUACGCGAGCUGGGUUUAGAACGUCGUGAGACAGUUCGGUCCCUAUCUGCCGUGGGCGCUGGAGAAUUGAGGGGGGCUGCUCCUAGUACGAGAGGACCGGAGUGGACGCAUCACUGGUGUUCGGGUUGUCAUGCCAAUGGCACUGCCCGGUAGCUAAAUGCGGAAGAGAUAAGUGCUGAAAGCAUCUAAGCACGAAACUUGCCCCGAGAUGAGUUCUCCCUGAGACUUUAAGUCUCCUGAAGGAACGUUGAAGACGACGACGUUGAUAGGCCGGGUGUGUAAGCGCAGCGAUGCGUUGAGCUAACCGGUACUAAUGAACCGUGAGGCUUAACCU